rnacentral:rRNA from 1 species
AUUGAACGCUGGCGGCAGGCCUAACACAUGCAAGUCGAGCGGCUGAAGGGAGCUUGCUCCUGGAUUCAGCGGCGGACGGGUGAGUAAUGCCUAGGAAUCUGCCUGGUAGUGGGGGAUAACGUCCGGACACGGGCGCUAAUACCGCAUACGUCCAGAGGGAGAAAGUGGGGGAUCUUCGGACCUCACGCUAUCAGAUGAGCCGAGGUCGGAUUAGCUAGUUGGUGGGGUAAAGGCCUACCAAGGCGACGAUCCGUAACUGGUCUGAGAGGAUGAUCAGUCACACUGGAACUGAGACACGGUCCAGACUCCUACGGGAGGCAGCAGUGGGGAAUAUUGGACAAUGGGCGAAAGCCUGAUCCAGCCAUGCCGCGUGUGUGAAGAAGGUCUUCGGAUUGUAAAGCACUUUAAGUUGGGAGGAAGGGCAGUAAGUUAAUACCUUGCUGUUUUGACGUUACCAACAGAAUAAGCACCGGCUAACUUCGUG